AUGUGGGCAAGCUAGAGUUUCAACAGUGAUAAACAUUAAAAUGUAGGCGAAAUCAGCCUCACUAAGAACCAUUGUUGAUGUGCUGGCCCGUGUUCAGGGGGACUAAAAAGCAGGUGGAUGUCUAUUUUAAGUUUUAGUUUCAGCCCUGCAAUUAAACUGUUAUUGGAAGGUUGGUUAUAUUUCCCCUUUUUGUGGUCAUCUAGUCAGAAUAACUGGAGAGCUGCACGCCUCAUGUUGAGCGCCACCUAGUGGCCAAAUGCCUCUGAGCCUUCACGCGUUGGUUCUGCACAUCAGCAAUUGUUUUGUGCUUUCAGCAUUUUUUAUUUUGAUCUUCUCGCAUUUCUCGAUGACCACAGAGAAGAACAGAUGAACUUUUCCAUAAGAUUCUGGCUGCUUGUCACUGAUUCCUGUCUGAAAAACAGAUCACCACCCAGCUGGGCCAGCACUGGAGGAGGAAUUUGCUCCAGGAAGACAUUUUGAUCCCACUCUAUGCAUGGCAGUGAUGUUGGACUGUGAGGAUGAGAUAUCCACAAGACUCAUCAGCAAAUGUAACUGCAGUCUUCUGCAGUCCAUCUUUGUACUACAUUAUUCUGUAUCACCCUCCUGAGGAAGAGGACACCCUGAAGCCUCCUUCUCUUCUGCAGAGCCUCUCUGUUGAUGGUCCAGAAAGCUGCUCUGUCCCCAGUGUCCUGUCUGUGCUGCCAUUCUGAUGCAGAGAUGAAGGCUGAUUCUGGUCACCAUUGCUAACACAAGCAGACAAACACUUCAGGCACAUCUGCUCCCGGUUUAUCCCGAUCAGUCUGAUGAUUACCAAAAAUCAAGUUUUUGGGUAAAAAGAUGUUCCGUGUGUUUUUUUUCUUUGUAAAUAAAAUAAAACUUUUUAGC